rnacentral:rRNA from 1 species
GUAAACCUGAGAAACCCAAAAGAUCGAAUGGGGAGAUUCAUCGUCAGCGAUGUUGGCUUCCGUGUGGAUCGCGAUGGCCGGGACCUCGGUUCCGCGUCACGCGUCGCUGCGGUAUGUCGGCGUCGUCGGCGUGCACUUCUCCCCUAGUAGGACGUCGCGACCCGUUGGGUGCCGGCCUACGGCCCGGUUGAUCGACUGUCGCGUCUCGUUCACGCGUGCACGCGGCAGACGACCGGAUGCCCGGCCGGCUGCCCGGCGGUAUAGAUCGCUAUAAAACGGUAUUGGGCCGCAUUAAGUGCGUUCUGGCUCGUCGGCAGGCUCGUCUCGCUCGGAUUUACGGACCUAGUGCCGUUGCCGGGCGCUUGGCGUGGCCGUUAGUCGACGAUGUCCUCGGACUGGCUCUUACAUUCGAACGGAUUUACCGGUCGGCGACGCUACUGCUUUGGGUACUUUCAGGACCCGUCUUGAAACACGGACCAAGGAGUCUAACAUGUGCGCGAGUCAUUGGGGACUUGUUAAGCCUAAAGGCGCAAUGAAAGUGAAGGUCGGCCCUAGCGUCGACCGAGGGAGGAUGGCUCGCGUCACGAUGCGAGCCCGCACUCCCGGGGCGUCUCGUGCUCAUUGCGAGCAGAGGCGCACCCAGAGCGUACACGUUGGGACCCGAAAGAUGGUGAACUAUGCCUGGUCAGGACGAAGUCAGGGGAAACCCUGAUGGAGGUCCGUAGCGAUUCUGACGUGCAAAUCGAUCGUCGGAACUGGGUAUAGGGGCGAAAGACUAAUCGAACCAUCUAGUAGCUGGUUCCCUCCGAAG